AGUGGGAUAGCUGGGUCAAAUGAUGAUUUCAUUUCCAGUUUUCUAAGGAAUCUCUAUAUUACUUUUCAUAUUGGCUGCAUCAAUUUGCAGUCCCAUCAGCAAU
rnacentral:pre_miRNA from 1 species